CAACAUGCAUUCUCUAACAGUUUUACACGGCGACGUUUUCUUUUUCUUUUUCACGAACAACAAUUCAAGCUAGAUCCAUCCAUAGCCGAAGCCAGAUGUUAUUUGCCUUUGUUUGCGAGCGUCUCGCGUGUGUUCUCAUCCACAAGAAGAUUGAAGGUAAAAGCAUUAAAUUUACGUAAGGAAGCUUCGUUCCUCGUUUGUGCGGUGUGCAAAGAUUGCACGCAAUUCCCGCUGUUCUCGGAGUGCCGAUGAAGUACGAGUCGUUCAAGGAAUCAACGAAAUGUGCGGGCGCUCGAAUGACUCCAUGGCUGACACCCGCGGCCACCUGCUACACGCCAGUGCGAAAGAAACUAAAGCACUGUGGAGGCUGCAGGGUGGCUUUGCCAGUAGGAAGGGCGGAAAUUCCUGAAGAUGUGUUCAUCCAUGUUGCAUCAGCUGCUUGGUGUUUUCAUGGCAUCUCUGCACACGUGUUGGGUUGAUCUUAAGCAGAAAACCAGAAGUGGCAGUGGUCUCCAGAAGAGACCAAGGACCCCAAGCUCUCUGUGACACAAGCAGGAAGGGCACUGUGGUGCAUUGAAAACUUGUGCCAGUAGUGCAUUACCAGUGCACUAUGCUGCUGUUUCAUCAAGGAGAAAGGAGGUGACCAGCCCCAGAGGAACUUCAUGCUCUACAGUAUGCCUACGGAGAACACCUCAAGGCGCAUCCAAGCAACGUCCUGGAGGCACAGCGCCACUGGAAUCUCAAUCGCCAUUUGGGGGACCUGCUUAAAGUCCUUAAGAAAUGAUUCCAGUGUGAGGCUUUCAAAACGGCAUGAAUAUUAAUUUAUUCGUUAUAAAGUUUUCAUUUUUAAAUUCCUGUUGUUGCACAUUGUUUUGCACCAUCUUUCCAUGGGUGA
rnacentral:lncRNA from 1 species